rnacentral:rRNA from 1 species
CCUACGGGUGACAGCAGUGAGGAAUAUUGUUCAAUGGACAAGAGUCUGAACCAGCCAAUAAGCGUAAAGGUUGACUGCCCUAUGGUUUUUAACCUUCUUUUAUUUGGGAAUAAAAUGUUCCACGUGUGGGUUUUUGUAUGUCCCUUAUGAUUAAGGACCGGCUAACUCAGUGCCAGCGGCCGCGGUAAUACGGAGGAUCCGAGCGUUAUCCGGAUUUUGUGGGUUUAAAGGGAGCGUAGGUGGAUUGUUAAGUCAGUUGUGAAAGUUUGCGGCUCAACCGUAAAAUUGCAUUUGAACCUGGCAGUCUUGAGUACAGUAGAGGUGGGCGGAAUUCGUGGUGUAGCGGUGAAAUGCUUAGAUAUCACGAAGAACUCCGAUUGCGAAGGCAGCUCACUGGACUGCAACUGACACUGAGGCUCGAAAGUGUGGGUAUCAAACAGGAUUAGAUACCCGAGUAGUC